GUCAUGAUUACUUUUUGGUGGAAAAUAUAUUUUACAGAGGGAAAUGUUAGUUUUUUAAGCUUUUUAUGUUCGUAUCUGAGUUCUACACCUGAUGGGCUUUAUUAUUAUGGUUAGAGUGCUAAUCUGAUAUGUGUAAUUAUAUAAACGUUUUGCUCAGUCAAGUGUCAACAGAAUAACAUGAAUGUUUUCAUAGUGAAUGAAUGUUGUCAUUGUAUCACCAAGGUCUGAGGAAGACAGAGUGCAGGCAUGAAAAAGACGGAGAGAGGAAAGAGUAAAACAGGUGAGAGACAAUUUGAUUAAUUCUUGUAGUUUAACUGUUGCUUGCAGACUAAAGCAUAAUUCCUUCACUUAUUUCAGGGCCUGGAAGUGGUCCCUCCUAAGAAGUCCUGCCAAACUGAAUUAGUCUGUGCAGCAUCAGCAGAGGCUGAGAACUUGCUGGAACUGGACACAGGGAACAGAGAGAAUUCUCUGCUUGAGGACACCUUUGAGGCAGCAAGGUGGUGUACCACAAGGUCCUUCAAAGGAAGCCUUUCCCUUCCCCAGGUCAUCACCAUGGACAGGGAAGCUUGCCGGAUGGCAGUGGAGAGGUUAUGCUUCUGUGAUGGCCUGGAUGAAGAGGAGAUGAACGAUUGCAGGGAACCGUUCCUGUUCAUGUUUAGUUUUCAGUCAGACUAUGAGGAGUUCUGCAGAGAAAUUGAGGAAAAAAGGAAAUGAAGGUGUUUUCUGGUUUUGAAAUGCCAUAGUACAGCGGUGUCAC